rnacentral:ncRNA from 3 species
CCGAGCCGUAUGCGGGGAAACUCGCACGUACGGUUCUUAGGGGGAGGUGGGCCAGUAAUGGCCCAUCUCUACCCGAC